GAAGGAGAGGGGAAGAAAUAGAUUAAAUUGUUGCAAUUUUGUGUGCAUUACAAGAGAAACAUUGCAUUACGUAGAAAACAAUACAGGCACCGCUUACACCCCACCAUGAUUUAAAAACAUAUUAGAGAUCUCAUACACUACAUUAUGAGAAUGACGUCCUGAAAGUGAACCUCGAUGGCGCGGAGCAUCCAACCCCGCAUGUUCUUCCUCAGCUAUGACCGCAACCAUCAUGAGAUCCUCAGGAGGAAUCUUUGCAAAAUUGCCAUGCCAAGCUUCGGCGGUGACUCAUUUUGUUGUGGAAAGAUGCAAGAGCGGUGAAAACGAAAUAGAAAAGGAGGCAGAAGCAAGAUUGUUAGAGAUAUGAGAGCAAGCCAAUCAUGUAUAUAUAGAUAAAAAAAACUAGCCAUUAGAAAUCCGGUCGUUUUAAAACUAGCACUGAGUUUCAAAUAGAAUAGGGGAGAUCUUUUAGGGAAACUGCUGGAGUUGAACAAUUUUUAGGGGAAAAGGAGACAGAAGCAAGAUUGUGAGAGAUAUGAGAGCAAGCCAAUCAUGUAUAUAUAGAUAAAAAAAACUAGCCAUUAGAAAUCCGGUCGUUUAAAAACUAGCGUUGGUUUUCAAAUAGAAUAGGAAAGAUCUUUUAGGGGAACUGCUGGAAUUGAAUAAUUUUUAGGGGAAAAGGGGGCAGAAGCAAGAUUGUGAAAGAUAUGAGAGCAAGCCAAUCAUGUAUAUAUAGAUAAAAAAAACUAGCCAUUAGAAAUCCGGUCGUUUAAAAACUAGCGUUGGAUUUCAAAUAGAAUAGGGAAGAUCUUUUAGGGAAACUGCUAGAGUUGAACAAUUUUUAGAGGAGAAAUUUUUUAGGGGAAUCACCUAUUUUGAGAUAUAUAUAUAUAUAUAUAGGAAGACAUUUUAGGGAAACUGCUGGACUUUGCCCUAACGUCCUAGCACUUCAGCAAUAUUUUGGCAAAUACAUCUGUCACAGGCUUGAUGGCACACUAUCGUAAUUCGUAAGCACGUUCGCCAUGUAAUGGCUUAUUAUGAGAGCAAUGUACAGAAGAUUCAGUCCGUGCUCACUGAUGUAUCUCGUUUUCAGAAUUUGAUGGCUCCAUUCUCCUGACAUGAGUGGUUCAUCUUAGUCAUCUACAGCU
rnacentral:lncRNA from 1 species